rnacentral:lncRNA from 1 species
CAGAGUGUUCAGUAGCUGUAUUUUGUUUUUUUUCCAGUUCAUAAUACAGAAAGAGGUUCUGAAGGACAUGCAGCACUUAGUGAAUACAUCUAUAUACAGUCAGCCAGAACUCAGAUAAAAAUCAUACAGCGACCAAAAUGAUUCUUCUGGCCUGCCAGAUACAUUGAACAGACUAAAGAUGGGGUUUGGGGGGGGUUUCCCCUCUUUUUUAAAGAAAAGAUUAAGACUUUAUUCAAGAUGUGUAUUGAGCAGUACAACAAACCCAGCCAAACAUCAAACCUUUGGAAUACUGUUGCCAUGGCCAUCCUUGUGAGGCGUUGAGUGUACCAUUCCAUCCCAGCUCUUUUCUACCCAGCACAGAAGGGAAACCACACGAAGUGCACGAUGAGCAUCCUUAGGACAGUUUGUCUAGAGGCGAAUCCCAACGCAGAGCUCUCUGCUACUGCAAAUACGAUGCACAAUGAGUACCCGAAACAAACAGCAAAGGAGACUGUGAGCAACAAGCAUUGGGUCACAAGAACGAGGGUUUCACCACCACGUGAGAACACUUGAGGAGCAGUCGGAGGCAGCAGGUUGUUCCAUGAGGUUUGGAGCAUCAGGUCUCUCCAUGCAGCCUUCUCCCUCCUACCAGGAAUAAAGGUUCACCUUUCCUUCUGCGCUGGGGUUGCACUUGCACAGCCCAGAUGAGUGUGGGAUUCAUUCCAGGGUGACAGUGAUAAACAUGACAUCUGUCUCCUCUCUAUUUAAUGUCAUAGUGACUUGGCAACUGCUGUAACUGCUGGCACUGCCCCUCUGACAAGGAAGGAGGCAUUGGAGGACAGCGCUGGGCUGCUCGAGGCUUGUUCUCCUCAUAACUGAGGUGAAUUUAUGGUGAGGUAAUCCACAGGCCCAUCUUCAGCUGCGGUUUCCUUCCCCUCAGCAUCGAUUUUACUUGCUCCAAACACCACAAGUUUCGCUGGAUCCUCAUGCUGGGCUAAGGCUGUAUUUUCUAGCACUGGCCUGAUUUUUCCAGGCCACCUCUGAGAAGCCAGGAGCUGCCAGCCUGCCCUAUAAGACUGCUUGCAGAGACCCCCAAACCAGGUUCUCCUUCCUUAAGACAAAUCUGUUGCUAGUUUAAACCAUCAACUGAAAGAUUUCUUGCUUUUAGGAGUGAUCGGCAAGCAGUUAGCCAAGCCUGAGCUGGGGGACAGCUGAAGUUGCUCCCCACUGACACACAUCUCAGGAGCCACCAUCCACAUGUCCUCUCUUUGCUCCCAACCUCUGCUUUGUCAAGCAGGGACACGACUCGCUGAAUCAGGCUAGUUCCUUGGCACAGGCAAAGAGUAAAACCAGAACCAAAGCCUUCAUGUCUGGUGCUUAUUCAAAUGACCACCGGUAGCCAGAAGAGAGAAAUGACAGACUUGGGGCACCACCUGCAACCAACCUGUGUGAGGAAGAUGAGGGAUCGGAAGCAAACGGCCGCUCUCUGUACACAACAGUACAGCACGAUGUGUAUGUGGGUGAGCAUCCACGUUUCUUACCUAUCUAUACACAAAUAUACAGCUCAGUUGAUAAAUUAAUACGUUUUUGCCAGAGAUAUGAAAAGGUUUAUUUUUUCUCAUUUAUACAGUGAAUGUUUUGAGAGAUAUAAGGCAACUCCCUUGUCAACAACUUCACCUCAGCACUUAAAUGCUAAACAGUCAAAGUUUACAGUAAAACAGCAGAUUAGACGCACAUCUAAUAAUUGUAGUGAGAAUCAAUGUUCCUACAGCAUGUCCGAGAGUAGAAUUCAUCAGAUGUUACGUAGCUCUAUGUUGCUGGGGGGUUUUUGGCAUCAUUGAGUGCAAACUUGUCAGGGGCUGCUUUAUCUUACAGCAGCCCAUUGCUGCAGCAGGGAAACACAGCUCGCUUGCAACAGGAUCCUAUCUUCUGCUAACACUGCAGGCAGGGUUUCUGUUUCUUAUUCAUGUUUGCCGAAAGAAAUCAAGUAAACUCUAAAGCUGCUUAAAACCAAAACGCACAAGCUUAGCUCCUCAAAGCUUUUGCUGAGUGUCUUCCAAGGACUGUUUCUUCUGUAACUACUAUUUAGGUUGGUUGAAUUUACUUUCUCAAGACUUCUUCCUUCUUACCCAUUGCAAAAUACCACUGAAUUAGCACAUGUAAAGGAAAUAAAAUGCUCAGGUAAUGAGGCCAAAUACUGCGGCAGACACAGGAAAUACCCACUCGCUGUUUCCACUUCCCAGCCAGGCCAGAUACACACUUGUGUGUGCAUGCAAUUUAUUUCUCUCUUCCCCACAGACGUAGUAGGAAGCUCUGAGGGAAGCCACAGGGAUCCAUCAGCCAGGGAGGGCUGGGAUUUUGAUGCACAACCAGCAGAGAACAGGUUUCCAAAGCCACUCACUGCGGGUUUCUCUGAUCCACUCCACUGUUGGCAUCCUGGACUGCUACACUUGACCUGGGCUAUCCGUGCUGUUCCCCCUCAAGCCCCUGCACUGAUCCCUUGGUGGUGGCACGUUCUAUGUGAUGCUAAAUGUUCUUCUAGUCUACGUGACAGGUCCGAGAGCAAACACAAAGGGCCACGGAAUUAACUUAUGUGUGAAUCUCACAUGCUCAACACUUACAAGAGACACCAACUUGAAGCACAAAUACACAAACCCUACCACGUCUUUCUCUUUUAUAUUUCUCAUUUAUAUAUGGAUACAAACACACCACUGCGUCUGGUUCUUGUGGCUCUAACCAAACUCUGUGCUACAGGCGACACUCCAGGCUUCAAACAGCAGCUCAGCCCCAGUGCCCUGCUCUGCUCAUGCAGGGAAACCAGUGGCACCUCACCCAGAAGGCAGGGUGCUGGGGCUGCUCCUGCUGCAGGCAGGGGAGGAAGGUGUGUUUUCCUCUCUGCGUGUGUCACUAAAGUGAUUCUAACUCUGUCGCUGCAGUUAGUACAAGCCUGGCUUGCUCACACUUUACAACUGGCAGUAGAACCUUUGCCACAAGCAGUAUGUUCUUCCAGCCACCAUCAUUUUCCACACAGUACUCUCCCGGCUCAGGCUGAUGAAAAUUAAGACUCCUCCUCCACGACCUCGUUGGAACCACUUCUUUUCUCUUGCGCAUCUCUUCCUCGUCCUCUGUAAGUGGUUUGUUCUCCGUAGUUCUUAGCACAAUGGUUUUCUCAGAUUAACUUGCACAAGGAGAAGCUCAGCUUUCGCUAAUGAAUCUUGGACAUUUCAUACAAAGUACUUUGAUAUCUGUUACCUCAUCCACAGUCUUGAGGAGGAAGGGAGGAAAGAGAAAUCCACGGGUUCUGCAAAUCCACCUCAUUAAUGAUAAAGCCAUAAAUAAAUACACUGUCAAUGUAUCGCCAUGAGUAACUGGAUUGUUUUCGCCUCCGCUGUGCAUUCACAGAGCUAGAGCUAUGCAGACACAGAUGAGAACUGUAAAUGUACAGCUGGCAGGGUUGGCGUGAGUGGGGGUACACCCUGCAAAUGGAACAAGGACUCUGAACCUGCAGGUGUCUGUCACACUGUCCGACCCACACCACGGACUAACGCGAGAAGCGUGUAACAGAGGAUACAGAGAGAGGAGAGGGAAAGGCCAUGUCUACACCGCUGUACAUCAAAGCACAUCCAUCCCACUGCUGUUUCCUACGUUAACGAGUAGCUCUUUAAGGCAGAAGAGAGACAUUCUGUGGA